AUUGAACGCUAGCGGGAGGCCUUACACAUGCAAGUCGAACGAGUGGCGGACGGGUGAGUAAUGUCUGGGAACCUGCCCGGUGGAGGGGGAUAACUACUCGAAACGGUGGCUAAUACCGCAUACUAUCGGAUGUGCCCCGAUCGGAUUAGCUAGUUGGUGGGGUAAAGGCUCACCAAGGCAACGCUCCGUAGCUGGUUUGAGAGGACGACCAGCCACACUGGGACUGAGACACGGCCCAGACUCCUACGGGAGGCAGCAGUGGGGAAUUUUGGACAAUGGGGGAAACCCUGAUCCAGCCAUCCCGCGUGUAUGAGAAGGCCUUCGGGUUGUAAAGUACUUUUGGCAGAGAAGCGGUAUCUGCAGAAUAAGCACCGGCUAACUCCGUGCCAGCAGCCGCGGUAAUUC
rnacentral:rRNA from 1 species